GUAGGUGGCAAGCGUUGUCCGGAAUUAUUGGGCGUAAAGCGCGCGCAGGCGGUUCCUUAAGUCUGAUGUGAAAGCCCACGGCUCAACCGUGGAGGGUCAUUGGAAACUGGAGAACUUGAGUACAGAAGAGGAAAGCGGAAUCCACGUGUAGCGGUGAAAUGCGUAGAGAUGUGGAGGAACACCAGUGGCGAAGGCGGCUUUCUGGUCUGUAACUGACGCUGAGGCGCGAAAGCGUGGGGAGCAAACAGGGAUUAGAUACCCUGGUAGUCCACGCCGUAAACGAUGAGUGCUAAGUGUUAGGGGGGUUUCCGCCCCCUUAGUGCUGCAGCUAACGCAUUAAGCACUCCGCCUGGGGAGUACGGCCGCAAGGCUG
rnacentral:rRNA from 1 species